ACGGAAGGCAGCAGUGAGGAAUAUUGGUCAAUGGGCGGAAGCCUGAACCAGCCAAGUAGCGUGCAGGAUGACGGCCCUAUGGGUUGUAAACUGCUUUUGUCAGGGAAUAAAAAGGAUUACGUGUAAUCCAUUGCAUGUACCUGAAGAAUAAGGACCGGCUAAUUCCGUGCCAGCAGCCGCGGUAAUACGGAAGGUCCGGGCGUUAUCCGGAUUUAUUGGGUUUAAAGGGAGCGCAGGCGGCCUUUUAAGCGUGUUGUGAAAUGUAGUGGCUCAACCUCUGCACUGCAGCGCGAACUGGAGGGCUUGAGUACGCGGGAAGUAGGCGGAAUUCGUCGUGUAGCGGUGAAAUGCUUAGAUAUGACGAAGAACUCCGAUUGCGAAGGCAGCCUACUGUAGCGUUACUGACGCUAAAGCUCGAAAGUGUGGGUAUCGAACAGGAUUAGAUACCCUGGUA
rnacentral:rRNA from 1 species